UUUAGAGCUCGAGAUAUGAGUUGAACACUGAACAAUAUCUAGGGCUUAGGACAUAUUCAGAUUUCACUAUGAUUUGAACUUCAAAACAGCAUUAUUGAAUCUUAGACUCUUCACAAAUAUUUUAGGCCUAUAUCUUAUCUUUCCAUC
rfam:Populus trichocarpa isolate Nisqually-1 chromosome 9, whole genome shotgun sequence.